rnacentral:rRNA from 1 species
UACGUAGGGAGCGAGCGUUGUCCGGAAUCAUUGGGCGUAAAGAGCAUGUAGGUGGAUCAAUUAGUCUGCUGUGAAAGUCAAAGGCUCAACCUUUGAAAGCCGGUGGAUACCGUUGAUCUAGAGUACGGAAGAGGCGAGUGGAAUUCCUGGUGUAGCGGUGGAAUGCGCAGAUAUCAGGAGGAACACCAAUAGCGAAGGCAGCUCGCUGGGACGUUACUGACACUGAGAUGCGAAAGCGUGGGGAGCAAACAGG